CCUACGGGUGGCUGCAGUCGAGAAUCUUCGGCAAUGCGCGCAAGCGUGACCGAGCGACGCCGUGUGCGGGAUGAAGGCCCUCGGGUUGUAAACCGCUGUCGUAGGGGAGGAAGUUGAUCGGGGUUCUCCCCGGUCAUUGACCUAUCCUAGGAGGAAGGACGGGCUAAGUACGUGCCAGCAGCCGCGGUAAUACGUACCGUCCAAACGUUAUUCGGAAUUACUGGGCUUAAAGGGUAUGUAGGCGGCGCUGUUAGUCGGGUGUGAAAGCCCUCGGCUCAACCGAGGAAUUGCGCCCGAUACUGCAGUGCUUGAGGGAGACAGAGGUAAGCGGAACUGAUGGUGGAGCGGUGAAAUGCGUUGAUAUCAUCAGGAACACCGGUGGCGAAAGCGGCUUACUGGGUCUCUUCUGACGCUGAGAUACGAAAGCUAGGGGAGCGAAG
rnacentral:rRNA from 1 species